AGAGUUUGAUCCUGGCUCAGGACGAACGCUGGCGGCACGCUUAACACAUGCAAGUCGAACGAGAGAAGAGAAGCUUGCUUUUCUGAUCUAGUGGCGGACGGGUGAGUAACACGUGAGCAAUCUGCCUUUCAGAGGGGGAUACCGAUUGGAAACGAUCGUUAAUACCGCAUAAUAUAAUUGAACCGCAUGAUUUGAUUAUCAAAGAUUUAUCGCUGAAAGAUGAGCUCGCGUCUGAUUAGCUAGUUGGUAAGGUAACGGCUUACCAAGGCGACGAUCAGUAGCCGGACUGAGAGGUUGAUCGGCCACAUUGGGACUGAGACACGGCCCAGACUCCUACGGGAGGCAGCAGUGGGGAAUAUUGCACAAUGGAGGAAACUCUGAUGCAGCGAUGCCGCGUGAGGGAAGAAGGUUUUAGGAUUGUAAACCUCUGUCUUCAGGGACGAAAAAAGACGGUACCUGAGGAGGAAGCUCCGGCUAACUACGUGCCAGCAGCCGCGGUAAUACGUAGGGAGCGAGCGUUGUCCGGAAUUACUGGGUGUAAAGGGAGCGUAGGCGGGAUCGCAAGUCAGAUGUGAAAACUAUGGGCUUAACCCAUAAACUGCAUUUGAAACUGUGGUUCUUGAGUGAAGUAGAGGUAAGCGGAAUUCCUAGUGUAGCGGUGAAAUGCGUAGAUAUUAGGAGGAACAUCAGUGGCGAAGGCGGCUUACUGGGCUUUAACUGACGCUGAGGCUCGAAAGCGUGGGGAGCAAACAGGAUUAGAUACCCUGGUAGUCCACGCCGUAAACGAUGAUUACUAGGUGUGGGGGGACUGACCCCUUCCGUGCCGCAGCAAACGCAAUAAGUAAUCCACCUGGGGAGUACGACCGCAAGGUUGAAACUCAAAGGAAUUGACGGGGGCCCGCAC
rnacentral:rRNA from 1 species